rnacentral:rRNA from 1 species
UUACAGGAUUAGAUACCCUGGUAGUCCACCCCGUAAACGUUGGGAACUAGUUGUGGGGUCCAUUCCACGGAUUCCGUGACGCAGCUAACGCAUUAAGUUCCCCGCCUGGGGAGUACGGCCGCAAGGCUAAAACUCAAAGGAAUUGACGGGGACCCGCACAAGCGGCGGAGCAUGCGGAUUAAUUCGAUGCAACGCGAAGAACCUUACCAAGGCUUGACAUAUACGAGAACGGGCCAGAAAUGGUCAACUCUUUGGACACUGUAAACAGGUGGUGCAUGGUUGUCGUCAGCUCGUGUCGUGAGAUGUUGGGUUAAGUCCCGCAACGAGCGCAACCCUCGUUCUAUGUUGCCAGCACGUAAUGGUGGGAACUCAUGGGAUACUGCCGGGGUCAACUCGGAGGAAGGUGGGGAUGACGUCAAAUCAUCAUGCCCCUUAUGUCUUGGGCUUCACGCAUGCUACAAUGGCCGGUACAAAGGGCUGCAAUACCGCGAGGUGGAGCGAAUCCCAAAAAGCCGGUCCCAGUUCGGAUUGAGGUCUGCAACUCGACCUCAUGAAGUCGGAGUCGCUAGUAAUCGCAGAUCAGCAACGCUGCGGUGAAUACGUUCCCGGGUCUUGUACACACCGCCCGUCAAGUCAUGAAAGUCGGUAACACCUGAAGCCGGUGGCCUAACCCUUGUGGAGGGAGCCGU